rnacentral:rRNA from 1 species
UACGAGGGAUGCAAGCGUUAUCCGGAAUUAUUGGGCGUAAAGCGUUUGUAGGCGGGCGAGUGUGUUUAAUGUUAAAUCUUAAAGCUCAACUUUGAAAUUGCGUUAAAAACUGCUUGUCUUGAGUAUGGUAGGGGUAAAGGGAAUUCCCAGUGUAGCGGUGAAAUGCGUAGAUAUUGGGAAGAACACUAAACAGCGAAGGCACUUUACUAGGCUAAUACUGACGCUGAGAAACGAAAGGUAAGGUAGCGAAACGGAUUAGAUACCCGUGUAGUCUUACCCGUAAACUAUGGACACUAAACGGUAAAUUUUUAAUUUACUGUUAAAGCUAACGCGUUAAGCGUCCCGCCUGGGGAGUAUGCUUGCAAAAGUGAAACUCAAAGGAAUUGACGGGGGCCCGCACAAGCGGUGGAGCAUGUGGUUUAAUUCGACGGUACACGAAGAACCUUACCAGGAUUUGACAUGCUAGAUAGUUGCUUGAAAGAGUAACGUGCCGUAAGGAAUCUAGACACAGGUGGUGCAUGGCUGUCGUCAGUUCGUGUGGUGAAAUGUUGGGUUAAGUCGCGCAACGAACGCAACCCUUGUCUUUAGUUAUUUUCUAAAGAGACUGCCUGUAAUAAACAGGAGGAAGGUAAGGAUGAGGUCAAGUCAUCAUGCCCCUUAUGUCCUGGGCUACACACGUGCUACAAUGGGAAAGACAAUGAGCUGCAAAUCCGUAAAUUUAAGCAAAUCUCUUAAACUUUCUCGUAGUUCGGAUUGUGGGCUGCAACUCGCCCACAUGGAGUUGGAAUCGCUAGUAAUCGCCAGUCAGCUAUAUGGCGGUGAAUCCGUUCCCGGGCCU